rnacentral:rRNA from 1 species
AGUGAACGCUGGCGGUAGGCCUAACACAUGCAAGUCGAACGGCAGCACAGGAGAGCUUGCUCUCUGGGUGGCGAGUGGCGGACGGGUGAGGAAUACAUCGGAAUCUACUCUGUCGUGAGGGAUAACGUAGGGAAACCUACGCUAAUACCGCAUACGACCUACGGGUGAAAGCAGGGGACCUUCGGGCCUUGCGCGAUUGAAUGAGCCGAUGUCGGAUUAGCUAGUUGGCGGGGUAAAGGCCCACCAAGGGGACGAUCCGUAGCUGGUCUGAGAGGAUGAUCAGCCACACUGGAACUGAGACACGGUCCAGACUCCUACGGGAGGCAGCAGUGGGGAAUAUUGGACAAUGGGCGCAAGCCUGAUCCAGCCAUACCGCGUGGGUGAAGAAGGCCUUCGGGUUGUAAAGCCCUUUUGUUGGGAAAGAAAUCCAGCUGGCUAAUACCCGGUUGGGAUGACGGUACCCAAAGAAUAAGCACCGGCUAACUUCGUGCCAGCAGCCGCCGUAA